GAGGCUUUAUCUUAAUUAAAGUAUCUGAGUUGCAUUCAGAAUAUAUAGGUUAGUGUCCUAUAAGUCUUA
rnacentral:tRNA from 1 species